CCAGACGGCCGGGCGGCCGCUGCCGCGGGGCAACCCGCGGUGGAGGAAAGUCCGGGCUCCACGGGAAUACGGUGCCGGCUAACGGCCGGCGGGGGCAACCCCAGGGAAAGUGCCACAGAGAACAGACCGCCGGCGCAAGCGGGUUCGCCCGCCCGCCGGCAAGGGUGAAACGGGGCGGCAAGAGCGCACCGCGCCCCCGGC
rnacentral:RNase_P_RNA from 1 species